AUGAACUCAUUGAAUCGAACGCCUCACACAGCCCCACUGUGGAGCGCCCCACUUACAUCCGGGUACCGCCCACUUUCCCGCUCUCUCCCUCUACCGUUGACGCAUGCGCGGUGCCGCAGCGAGUCCUUAGCGACAGGGAGGCGGCGGCGCAUGCGCGGAGCGGGCGCUGUGGCGGCGGCGGUGAUGGAGGCGGCCAUGGAGCCGGGAGAGGAGGUGGAGGAUGAGGAGGAGCAGCGAGUUCCUCCUAUUGCAACAACUCCGCCACGCCGCAGCUGGAGAGAGGAAUCCUUAAGCCAGAGCAGCAGUGAGACCCUGGUCUCAGCUACCAGUGGGAUCUCCCUGGGAGAAGCAAUACGUCAGAGAACGGCUGCUCAUCAGGAAAUUGACUCAUGGUAUCAGCUUCCAGCAGAGGUGGAUGCCAGCCGUUUAACUGCUGCCUCAGAGACAACGCUUGGCCUGGCUUCUGAUAGGAAUGACCUGUCUGAGUUCCCUACACUGGAGGAAGGAAUGUUGCCUUCAGCAGAAACAUCAAGGAUGCAGCAUCCUGAAGAUACAGUGCAUGGCUUGCUGCUGGAUAUUCAGGACAGUCAAUUCACUCCCUGUCUUCCUUUGCUGACGUAUUCAACACCAGGCCAAAGGAUUUUGGAUGAGACGCUUUUCCAGCAAUCAGAAAGGGAUUUCAUUCAUUUAAGGUAGGAUGAAGUUACCUGUUGUCAUGGCAGAAUGCAACUUCUUUUCCUGGUUGGCCGUAAUUUGUCCUUCCUUUCGUAAUUACCAUUUGACAGUGACAGAAAUAGGACAAAGAUGUGAUUUCUUUUAUAUUUUCCUUUUGGUAGAGGGAAGAAUUUGUUAGAAUUCUUUGCUUUACUUUGCCUACAGAAGAAUUUGAACAGACCUCGUGAACUCUUCAUUCUAAUGUACCUGAAAAAAAUGAGCAGAUGAAGAACUCUGCCCUUCCAAACAUCUCUUUAGAUUGUGAAAUAAAAUUGAUUGAAUUCUGAGGACA
rnacentral:lncRNA from 1 species